UACGUAGGUGACCAGCGUUGUCCGGAUUUACUGGGCGUAAAGAGCGCGCAGGCGGUCGUUCAAGUCGAGUGUGAAAGCCCCCGGCUCAACUGGGGAGGGUCAUUCGAUACUGAUCGACUCGAAGGCAGGAGAGGGAAGCGGAAUUCCCGGUGUAGUGGUGAAAUGCGUAGAUAUCGGGAGGAACACCAGUGGCGAAGGCGGAGACCUGGGCACAUACUGACGCUGAGGUGCGAAAGCGUGGGGAGCAAACAGG
rnacentral:rRNA from 1 species